rnacentral:sRNA from 1 species
CCUGCACAAGGUGGAGUGUACUGGCUACGCCCUGGGUUUCAUGAGCUUGGACAGCAAGGUGAGCUCUUCCGGCCUGGGGUGGGGGCGGCAGCCUCUGCUCCCUCCUGGGUAGCAUGCUGCCUGCUCAGCCCAGGGAUAAGCUGUGAUCAGACUUGGGCUCCGUAGGUGGAAAGGGAGAUUCCAGGGAAGAGGCAUCGCCUGCAGGACUUUGCGGUGGGACCCCUGAAACUGGACCUGCAUAGCUACGUGAGGCCUGCACAGUGAGUCAGCUGGGGUGCCCCAUCUCCUUUCAUCCCCAUGGGGUGCACCCUCACCAGGCACUGGUGGAGCCAGGCAGGGUUCUCAAAGCAAAACGACGGGCAUGGGUGGAGAAGUCAGCAGAAGAGCCCAGGGAAAGGCUGGCCCGAGGCUGGAUGAGCAGAGUGGGGGCAGCCAGAAGGCCCUAGGUGCCUGGCUUGCCCCAACAAUGGCUAUUGCUGGGCAGGCUAAGUGUGGAGCUGGACUACGGCGGCAGUAUGGAAUUCCAGUGCCAGGCCAGUGACCUCAUUCCCGAGCAGCCCUGCUCUGGGGUGCUGAGUGAGCUGGUGACCACCCACCACCUGAAGCUGACCAACACUACAGAGAUCCCACACUACUUCCGGCUCAUGGUCUCCAGGCCCUUCUCCGUUUCUCAAGACGGGGCGAGCCGGGACCACAGAGCUCCUGGCCCUGGCCAGAAGCAGGAGUGUGAGGAGGAGAUAGCCUCAGCGGACAAGCAGCUGGUGCUCCAAGCACAGGAGAACAUGCUGGUGAACGUGUCCUUCUCACUCUCCCUGGAGCUGCUCUCCUAUCAGAAGCUCCGGGCCGACCAGACACUGCCUGGGGUGGACAUUCAGCAGAGUGCGAGUGGAGAGAAAGAGAUGGUGUUUACUCGGAACCUGCUCCUGGAGUACACCAACCAGACCACUCAGGUGGUGCCCCUGCGGGCUGUGGUGGCCGUGCCUGAGCUGCAGCUCUCCACCAGCUGGGUGGACUUUGGGACCUGCUUUGUGAGCCAGCAGCGAGUCCGAGAGGUCUACCUGAUGAACCUGAGCGGCUGCCGAAGCUACUGGACUAUGCUGAUGGGAGUAGUGAGCUGUACGAGUCCACGAUGGUGGUGGAAGGUGUGCUUGGUGAGAAGUCCUGCACCCUGCGGCUCCGGGGCCAAGGCUCCUAUGAUGAGAGAUACAUGUUGCCUCACCAGCCCUGAGGCUCCGCCCCAGCCCUCAGCCCCAGGCCCCAGCUGGAGAAAAAACAUUGCCCAGGGAUUAGGAGCAGAUCUUCAGCACAAAGACACAGACUUGGGGACCUGGGGACCUCUGGGCAGCUCCUGGAAUGGAAGAACCCCCUUCCACAAUGGCCUCAGCCUAGGCCCUCAUGAUAUGUCCUCAGAGCUAACAUAAAGGACAGGCCACACCACAGUAGAGACCACCGCAUUGAGAUCACUACUCAUUGUGUAGCGAAGACCAGUAUGGCGAAAUUAGUCUUGGAAAAAAACCACGGCCACUAAGAUAAAUUCAUGCACUUUUACUAUGCCCAUUGCACUUCUCAUCCAUGGAUUCACCUUGCCUUAAGAAUUAACCAUGGCCUUGUGGCCUGGGUGACCCAGGCUGCUUUUGUCUUGCACAGCUAAAGAGGGUCCGAUGGGUGGCUCAACACCCCACCCACUCCUAUACCAUGUCACCAGUGUUCACAUUUUCCAAAUGAGUUGAAGUGCCUUGAUCUGUCCACUGCCACCACCACCAGUGCUGAGUUUUCCCAUGUAGUUUUGCUUUUGUGAUGUUACUGCCUUGCUGCUAGAGCAGCAGGACUGUCUGCGUAGCACCUCCAGGCUGGGACCUCACUCAGUUCCCAGGGUAUUCAAAGACGGCAGCGGCUCCCAUUCCAGUCCCGAUGCACAUGGACACCACUCCAUAUGCCCUGUGAAAACAAAACUUAAUUGGCUGGGCAAAGGCACCCACCAAGUUACCUCCAGACCAGGCUGAGCCAGAAGGACUUCAUGGACAAGUAGGAUGCAAAACCAUCAGACCAGAUCUGUGGGCAAGCGGUACCCACUUGGGCACACACACGGUGACAGAUGCCCACUGCAGGCUAGUAUACCUUUCAAGGCUGGCCCUUAAGGAAAACAGGGAUCAUGACCCUACAUCCUCAGUUCAGGGUGUUUCUGUGUGCAUGUUCCCCUCCCCAGGGAUCGAUCAUAAUCCCAAAAGACACAAUCCCAAACACAAUCAUCCCAAAUGUUGAAAUCCUGGAAGAACAAAGUCCCUAAAGUCUAAAAUCCUGAAAAUCACAAUCCUAAAAGAUCAAAAUCCUGAAAAUAUAAUUCUGGAAAAAAUAAUUUGGAAGCCUGGCAUGGUGGCAUCUAUUUGUAGUCCCAGCUAUUCAGCAGGCUGAGGCAAGAGGAUCACUUGUGCCUAGGAGUUCAAGACCAGCCUGGGCAAUAUAGCAAGACCCAUCUUAGAAAAAAACUUUUUUAAAAGAUUGAUUUAAAAGAUAUUUACAUUUUUAGGCCAGGCGCGGUGGCUCAAACCUGUAAUCCCAACACUUUGGGAGGCCGAGGCGGGAGGAUCACGAGGUCAGGAGUUCAAGACCAGCCUCGCCAACAUGGUGAAACCCUGUCUCCACUAAAAAUACAAAAAUUAGCUGGGUGUGGUGGCAGACACCUAUAAUCCCAGAUACUCAGGAGGCUGAGGCAGGAAAAUUGCUUGAACCCAAAAGGCAGAGGUUGCAGUGAGCCGAGAUCACACCACUGCACUCCAGCCUGGACAACGGAGUGAGACUCCAUGUCAAAAAAAAAAAAA